UGUUAAAAUUUCAUCAAUUUGUACUGUUAAAAACUAGCGUGGCUGACAGAAUAAUCAAGUAGUGUGCCACGUAUACCUUAUGUUGAUGUUAAAAGAUCAAUUUUUAACAGUAGAAAUGAAAGGAAUUUUUAUA
rnacentral:pre_miRNA from 1 species